rnacentral:rRNA from 1 species
GCAAUCUGCCUUUCACAGAGGGAUAGCCCAGAGAAAUUUGGAUUAAUACCUCAUAGUAUUAUAGAAUGGCAUCAUUUUAUAAUUAAAGUCACAACGGUGAAAGAUGAGCAUGCGUCCCAUUAGCUGGUUGGUAAGGUAACGGCUUACCAAGGCAACGAUGGGUAGGGGUCCUGAGAGGGAGAUCCCCCACACUGGUACUGAGACACGGACCAGACUCCUACGGGAGGCAGCAGUGAGGAAUAUUGGUCAAUGGACGCAAGUCUGAACCAGCCAUGCCGCGUGCAGGAUGACGGUCCUAUGGAUUGUAAACUGCUUUUGUACGAGAAGAAACACUGCUUCGUGAAGCAGCUUGACGGUAUCGUAAGAAUAAGGAUCGGCUAACUCCGUGCCAGCAGCCGCGGUAAUACGGAGGAUCCAAGCGUUAUCCGGAAUCAUUGGGUUUAAAGGGUCCGUAGGCGGUUUAGUAAGUCAGUGGUGAAAGCCCAUCGCUCAACGGUAGAACGGCCAUUGAUACUGCUGAACUUGAAUUAUUAGGAAGUAACUAGAAUAUGUAGUGUAGCGGUGAAAUGCUUAGAGAUUACAUGGAAUACCAAUUGCGAAGGCAGGUUACUACUAAUUGAUUGACGCUGAUGGACGAAAGCGUGGGGAGCGAACAGGAUUAGAUACCCUGGUAGUCCACGCCGUAAACGAUGGAUACUAGCUGUUGGGCGCAAGUUCAGUGGCUAAGCGAAAGCGAUAAGUAUCCCACCUGGGGAGUACGUUCGCAAGAAUGAAACUCAAAGGAAUUGACGGGGGCCCGCACAAGCGGUGGAGCAUGUGGUUUAAUUCGAUG